rnacentral:rRNA from 1 species
GAUGAACGCUGGCGGCGUGCCUAAUACAUGCAAGUCGAGCGAACAGACGAGGAGCUUGCUCCUCUGACGUUAGCGGCGGACGGGUGAGUAACACGUGGAUAACCUACCUAUAAGACUGGGAUAACUUCGGGAAACCGGAGCUAAUACCGGAUAACAUGUUGAACCGCAUGGUUCAACAGUGAAAGACGGUUUUGCUGUCACUUAUAGAUGGAUCCGCGCCGCAUUAGCUAGUUGGUAAGGUAACGGCUUACCAAGGCAACGAUGCGUAGCCGACCUGAGAGGGUGAUCGGCCACACUGGAACUGAGACACGGUCCAGACUCCUACGGGAGGCAGCAGUAGGGAAUCUUCCGCAAUGGGCGAAAGCCUGACGGAGCAACGCCGCGUGAGUGAAGAAGGUCUUCGGAUCGUAAAACUCUGUUAUUAGGGAAGAACAAAUGUGUAAGUAACUAUGCACGUCUUGACGGUACCUAAUCAGAAAGACACGGCUAACUACGUG